GAUGAAGAACGCAGCGAAAUGCGAUAAGUAGUGUGAAUUGCAGAAUUCAGUGAAUCAUCGAAUCUUUGAACGCACAUUGCGCCCCUUGGUAUUCCAUGGGGCAUGCCUGUUCGAGCGUCAUUUGUACCUUCAAGCUUUGCUUGGUGUUGGGUGUUUGUCUCGCCUCUGCGCGCAGACUCGCCUCAAAACAAUUGGCAGCCGGCGUAUUGAUUUCGGAGCGCAGUACAUCUCGCGCUUUGCACUCAUAACGACGACGUCCAUAAAGUACAUUUUUACACUCUUGACCUCGGAUCAGGUAGGGAUACCCGCUGAACUUAAGCAUAUCAAUAAGCGGAGGA
rnacentral:misc_RNA from 1 species